AAGUCAUUAAUGACCUUUCUAGUGAUAAAAGAGGACGCUGGGAGCCCAUGGCACGAAGUGGCAAAAGAGUUGCUCAGAUCAUCACCUGGAGCUUCCUGUGUUGGAGUGACUGAGCAUCUGCUUCCAUAGCACAUUUUUGUGAAAAUCAGAUGGAUAGUGGGAUUGGCUCUUUGUUUCUAACCAAAUGCGGGAAAAGAAAGUAAUGAGCUCAGAGUUUUAAAUUCCCAGCUCAAGUUCUGGAUAAGAAACUUGAAAGCUUCUGUGUCUGCCUUGAAAGAAACGCUCAUUUCCCAUAGUCACAGGGAUAAGCUUUCUGAAAAUCAAACCCAAGUCUAAUUCUGUGGGUGCAAUUACAACACUGAACUUCCGACCUCAAAUUCUGCUCUCUCUCAACUUCUGCCAUCUCUUUGCAGAUCGAAGCAGCCCUCUACCUCUGCCUGCAAAGUGAGUCUUCCUUUGCCUGAAGAAACUCUUAUGGUCUUCCCAAGGUCAGAGAGUCUAGUGGCAACGGACACCACUGAGCUGGAAUUUCUAAAUGCAGUGGGCCUGAUGGGAGCCCGAGUGGCGGGGAUCCAAGUAGCAUUGGCAUGCAGGAGGUGAGGUGAGCAUGGUUACCGUGGGGAAGCCCAGUCAGCCGUGGUGAGAGUCUGACUCUCAGAGGUCUGGGCAUUCGCUACUUUCUCAUGGUAUCCAUAGAAAUGGAAGAGGUGUGAGCCUGCUCAAGUCCUGCUUGAUCCGACGGGUGAGUGCUGGAUCUAGAGGACAGAGGUGUGACCUGAACGACCGACCGACCGACCGAGGCAGGGUGUCCUAGCCCCUCUGUCACUUCCCAUACUUGAGUCCUCUAAGGAAGGAGAGGCACAGUCCCCAUGAGGAAGGAUGUUUUACCGCCAAUCUUUAUGCUGUUAAUCUUCCUCUUAAACUUCUCCAGACACAAGUGACGGUUUGCAAAGUGACUAUGCUUUGGGGGAAAGGGAAAUAGUCACUUUCCGGAGAUUAACGGACAUUGGGUUUGAACUGACCUUCUUUCCUAGAGACCCAAAAUGUCACUGCUGGAGUUGUAGGAAGUUCUGUCUCACCGAGGGACUGACAGGUCCUGAAUGCAUCCGACCACUAUUUCCUCAAUUCUGAGAUGAAUCCUUGGAAUUCAUUGAGCAAUUGGAGGAAUUCCAACUUGGUUCCCCGACUCAGAGACUGAGGAAGAUAUGGUAGGAAAAUCCAAGUGGAAGCCACUAGAACUCUCUCUACCCAUGAAAAUAAUCACAAAAAGCAAUGCCACAUUCCCGACAGGGUGGCAGAGAUUGGGGCCACCAUGAAGGACUUGGCAGGUGCAGGGGUGUGGUGAGUCCCCUUACUUCCCCAUUCAACUCACCUUUUGGAGACAUAAAGAAAUCUGAUGAAUCUUGAAGAGUGACGUUGGACCGUUAUAAACUUAAUUGGAGGGUGACUCCACUUUCACCUGCUAUUCCGAGUGGGUUGUGAGUGCUGCAGUAAUCACGCAUCUCCUGGCACCUGCAUGCAGUUAUUGAUCUGGAAAAUGCUUUUCUACUUAUACCUAUUAGAAAAGACCAUUUGAAGUCGCUUGUUUUCAGCCAGCAAAACCAGCAACACACCUUUGCGGUCCCACCUCAGGGUGGUAUCAGUGCUCUAGACCUAUGUCAUAGUAGCAUCUGGAUUGACCUUUCUUUCCCAUGGGACAUCACGCUGGUCUGUUAGAAUUGAUGAUAUUGUCGUGAUUGGAGCUGAUGAACAAGACAUAGUAACUACGGCGGCCACGUUGGUAAGAUCCUUCCACACUGGAGGGGAGAAAUAAAUCGCCCAGAAUUUUAGGGGUCUGUAACUUCAGCAAAAGUUCUUGGGGUCCAGUGAUCUGAGGCAGGUGGAGAGCCCUUCCUAAGUGAAGGAAAUGUUGCUGAUGCUAAGAGAGAGGCCCAGUGUCUGUGGGGCCCUUUGGAUUCUGCAGUCAACAUCCAGCUACUCUGGGAGCCCUGCUGGGACUCAUUUACCAAGUGACCGAAAGGCAGUCAGUUUGGGAUGGGACCUGGAACAAAAGAAAGCCCCAUGUCAGCUGAGGACCGAGACAGUAGAGCUUGUGCUGUGGCGGAUGGGGAGGCUGUUUGCAUACCCUGGAAGGCCUUGCAGGUGAACCCCAUUGUGGACCUCUAGAAUGUGGGGGGCCGCACCCUUCUUUGAAAAUACUCUGCUGUUGAGAAAGAGCAUUUGGCUUUCUCCUGGGCCUUAGCAGAGACGGAAGGCUGGACUCUGGGCCACCAAGAUACCAUGUGGCCUGAGCUACCCAUCAUGCCCUGGUGUUGUCUCACCCAACAGCUGCGAACUGGGUGAGCAGCAAGUCCGACAGCACUCCAGGGUCCAAUGGAGCCGGUGUCACUGGGAGCAGGUGGGUCCUGAAGGUAAGUUGUAGGAGAAAUGGUUCAUGCUCAUGCCUUUCCACGGCCUCUCUCUUAAAUGACACUCUCUAAAAUGACACGCUCUCAGCAGUUCCCUAGGGCCAGCUGUCACAGGAAGAAAACCUCAGGAUGGUUCCCACAGAGUUCUGUGUGAUCCGCAGGCAUCAUGCACACAUGGAUGGGCAGCUGCAGCCCAAUGGCCUCGCACAGGACACCCCUGAAGGAAGGAGUGUUUCCUGACCAGCCGUGCACCUGGUGGCACUGUGACUUGGAGGAAAGAUGUCCACAAGUGUGGGUCUGCAUUUAAAGUCAAUGCCUUUAACGAUGUGUGCAACGAUCGUCAUAAUCAAUUUUAAAACAUUUCCAUCAUCCCCAUGCCCUAUAAUUACCCAUCUCCCUGUUCACCCAUUUCCCUCUAAGCAUAAGCAAUCAUUAAUCUCCUCCCUGUGUCUAGAUUUGCCUAUUCUGGACAUUUCAUAUAAUCUUUGACCUUUUGUGAUUGGCUCCUUUCACUGGGCAUAAUGUUUUCAAGGUCCCUCUGUGAGGUCGAAUGUAUUGGUAAUAUAUUCCUUUGUGUGUGUGUGUGUGUGUGUGUGUGUGUGUGUGUGUGUGGUACUGGGGAUUGAACCCAGGUCCCUGUGCAGGCCAGGCAAGCACUCUACCAACUGAGCUAUAUCCCCAGCUCCACAUUCCUUUUUAUAGUUUAAUAAUAUUCCACUGUAAGGUUUUAGUGUAUUUCAUUUAUGCAUUCAUCAGUUGAUGGAUAUUUGGGGAUGGAUAUUUUGCCUCUUGGUUAUUACGAAUAAUAAUGCAAUAAACAUUCAUGCACAA